rnacentral:rRNA from 1 species
GGUAUUAUAAAUUAUAAUAAACCUUUAUAAGCUGGCGGUUAUUAUUUAUUAGAGGAAUUCGCUGAAUAAUCGUCAAUACCCGAUAAAUUUAACCAAUAUAAACAAGUCUGUAUACCGCCGUUAUUAGAAUUCAAUUAAAAUAGUAAAUACUAAAAAAUCAGGUCAAGGUGUAGCUAACAUAUUGGAAACAGUAAAUUACAUUAUAAAUAAUAUUAGAAUUACCAUUAAAAAUAGGUAUGAAAAAGAAUCUGUAAUUACAAACACUAAUAUAGUAUUUAGAACUAAAUUAUAAUAACGU